rnacentral:lncRNA from 1 species
GGUAUCAUGAUUGAAUAAGCAAGCUCCAGCUACAGACACCUGUGUUCAAACUUCACCUCUGCAACCUACACGCUGUGUGAGCUUGGACAAGCUGGUUCAACCUGCACUUCAGAUGACUCAUCUCUACAACGUGAACCACUAUAGCAUCACCUUAUAGGGCCAUUCAGAAGAUCUGAACAAACACAGGUGGAGGGCUUGGAGCAUGCCUGCUGUCCACGGUACCCAGUGCACCAGCUAGAUUAAGAACUUUCCAAAGCUUUCUGUGGAACACCUACCUGCCCUGCCCCAGACACUGUGGGCACCAUGAAUGUGAACCAGGCCUCGUCCUGGCCUUGGGUGUGCAUCAAAUAACUAACCCCGUCCAGAAGGAGACAAGGGCUGUUUCUGAGGUGCAAGUAAAUGCCUAGAGGAAGAUCGGUCCUAGCUGGAAGGGGUCCAUGAUAGAGGAGGGACCCGAGGUGGUGCUGGAGGAAUGGGCAGGAUUCUAACAGAAGGUCACAGCAGGUCGGGGCAGCGUUCUCACUACACCAGUUGGGCAUUAGCCCAUCAGGUGUCCAGUUCACCCCAGGUGACACCUGCUAAGAAGAAAAUGAAGUCAAACUAUCACUGGCAUUUUAGCAUAGUAUUAACUGCCCAUUCUAUUCCUGGUGAAGAUCCUUCCAGGAGCUGAGGAUGUAGAUCCGGGGUAGAGUGCUUGCCCAGGAUGCGCUGGGCCUUGGGUUUGAUUCCUAGCAUGGAAAAGAGUUGAAU